rnacentral:rRNA from 1 species
GGUGAACGCUGGCGGCGUGCCUAAUACAUGCAAGUCGAGCGAACAGACGAGGAGCUUGCUCCUCUGACGUUAGCGGCGGACGGGUGAGUAACACGUGGAUAACCUACCUAUAAGACUGGGAUAACUUCGGGAAACCGGAGCUAAUACCGGAUAAUAUAUUGAACCGCAUGGUUCAAUAGUGAAAGACGGUUUUGCUGUCACUUAUAGAUGGAUCCGCGCCGCAUUAGCUAGUUGGUAAGGUAACGGCUUACCAAGGCAACGAUGCGUAGCCGACCUGAGAGGGUGAUCGGCCACACUGGAACUGAGACACGGUCCAGACUCCUACGGGAGGCAGCAGUAGGGAAUCUUCCGCAAUGGGCGAAAGCCUGACGGAGCAACGCCGCGUGAGUGAUGAGGGUCUUCGGAUCGUAAAACUCUGUUAUUAGGGAAGAACAAAUGUGUAAGUAACUAUGCACGUCUUGACGGUACCUAAUCAGAAAGCCACGGCUAACUACGUG